rnacentral:rRNA from 1 species
UGAAUACGAGAUGCUACGGCGUCGAAGCAGUGUAUGUCAGACUUCCAAGAAAAGCUCGCAAUGUCAUAAAUAAAGAAUGCCUGUACCAUAACCGACACAGGUGGGUAGGUAGAGUAUACUAAGGGGCGCGAGAUAACUCUCUCUAAGGAACUCGGCAAAAUAACUCCGUAACUUCGGGAGAAGGAGUGCCUUCUUUAAGAAGGUUGCAAUAACAAGAUCCAAGCAACUGUUUAUCAAAAACACAGGUCUCCGCUAAGUCGUAAGACGAUGUAUGGGGGCUGACGCCUGCCCAGUGCCAGAAGGUUAAAGAAGUUGGUUAGCUUUUGCGAAGCUGAUGACUGAAGCCCUGGUGAACGGCGGCCGUAACUAUAACGGUCCUAAGGUAGCGAAAUUCCUUGUCGGGUAAGUUCCGACCCGCACGAAAGGCGUAAUGAUUUGGAUACUGUCUCGGAGAGGGACUCGGUGAAAUAGACUUGUCUGUGAAGAUGCGGACUACCUGCACCAGGACAGAAAGACCCUAUGAAGCUUUACUGUAACUUGAAAUUGAAAUUGGACUUUAUUUGCGCAGUAUAGGUGGAAGGCGUUGAAAGUAAUCUUGCGGGAUUAGUGGAGCCAUCAGUGAGAUACCACUCCUAUAAUGUUAGAUUUCUAACUUUGGAUCAUGAUCUGGUCAAAGAACAGUUUCAGGCGGGCAGUUUGACUGGGGCGGUCGCCUCCCAAAUGGUAACGGAGGCGUACAAAGGUUUCCUCUGAACGGGUAGAAAUCGUAUCUAGAGUGUAAAGGCAUAAGGAAGCUUGACUGUGAGACCUACAAGUCGAGCAGGGACGAAAGUCGGUCUUAGUGAUCUGACGGUGCUGAGUGGAAAGGCCGUCACUCAACGGAUAAAAGUUACUCUAAGGAUAACAGGCUGAUCUCCCCCAAGAGUUCACAUCGACGGGGAGGUUUGGCACCUGAUGUCGGCUCAUCGCAUCCUGGGGCGGUAGUACGUCCCAAGGGUUGGGCUGUUCGCCCAUGAAAGCGGUACGCGAGCUGGGUUCAGAACGUCGUGAGACAGUUCGGUCCAUAUCCGGUGUAGGCGUUAGAAUAUUGAGAGGAGCCUUCUUUAGUACGAGAGGACCGAGAAGGACAUACCUCUGGUGUACCAGUUAUCGUGCCAACGGUAAACGCUGGGUAGCUAUGUAUGGAGAGGAUAACCGCUGAAAGCAUCUAAGUGGGAAGCCCACCUCAAGAUGAG